GAAAGCGUGGCUCAGAUGGUGGAGCGCUCACUUAUCAUGCGAGAGGUUCGGGAAUCAAUACCCCUCGCCUCCA